AAUAUCUUGCAUCCUGUGCCCCUCAAUAUCAUGUCAUGGCCAUACUGUGCUUUGGCUAACCAAUUCUCCCCUCAAUAAUCCACUAGGCAUCCAACCAAACUUCACUUGUGGGGUUGCAAAGUACCCAGUAGCAUUGUAAAUUUCGCCCAUAGCAAACCCUCUGCAGUAUCAUGCCAUGCCCAUGACUGAUUUCUAGUGAAGUGGAAGACGACAAUAUUGAUCAAGGGUUGAGGAGGCUAGAAGGGAUUAUGGAUGAAAGUAUCACUGCUUUGAUGGAGGAA
rnacentral:lncRNA from 1 species